GGCACCCCGGCCCUCCUCCAAUAAACACUGGGCACCUGUCUGGCUUGUAACACUGCAUUCAGCUUCGCUGCAUCAGUCCGUCCCAACUGAGCCAUGAAGAUUCUUCACCUGUGCUGGGCUGUUUUCUCUGUGCUGCUCCUGGCUUCCUCAGGAUUUGCCUUUUUCAAACCAAAUAGCAGGCGGCAAUGCUAUGAAGCCAACGGUGCUUGCAAACUUUUCAAGUGUCCCUCUCCCAUGGUUCAGAUCGGAAAAUGCGGAAUUGUGAGGAAAUGUUGCAAAAGCCCAAUGUGAUAGAAGACUAAUUGCUGCCUGCUGACCCAGGAUCCUUUGAAAAAAGGGAUGUGUUCCCUCAACUUUGAGAGCUACUGGAUCAUGCAUCAUCCCCCAGCUGGAGAUCUCUUCUGUUUAUUCACCAGAGAAUCUGGCUCAAAAUGAAGGAGCGUUUGCAACAUUUACAAUGAGACUAUGAGCGUGUUCCCUUGCAAUAAAAGCAAAUUCAAGA